CAUUUCACUGACACUAAUUUCGAGGUGCUUAGUGGUAAUUACUGUUAAUAGAACUUAAAAACCACAAGUAUAUUGUACGCCUACAAACAACAGAUAAUACAAAAGAUGUGUCAAACACAUAGCACAACAGAUCAUACAAAAAUGUGUCAGAUGCAUAACACAACAAAUAAUACAAAAGAUGUGACAAACACAUAAAACACAAUACAAAAGAUUUGUCAAACACAUUAAAAAAAACACAAAAAAGUGUGUCAAACACAUAAAACAACAGAUAAUAAAAAAGAUGUGUCAAACACAUAUAUAAUAAAGGGCUGCGCUUUAGCGCAUGAUACGCCCGUUGCUCUUUUAACUUGUCUUUUAUGCUUUAAAUGAAUUUAUAUGAUCAACUAGAAAUAGUGUGAGCCCUGUCAAAUCCCCCUCCCCAAAUAAUAAAUAAAAAUGCACAAAAAAAUUGGCACUAUUAAGGCUACCUCAAAUUUAACUAAGUUUGUUGUCUUUAAUUUUUCAUCCAUACAUAAAAUUUUGUGAAAGUGUUAUUAUUGUCCCAAAAUUGGAAAAAUCCCCCCUUUUUUAAGCAUAAAAAUUC
rnacentral:lncRNA from 1 species